rnacentral:lncRNA from 1 species
UGCGUGUGAGAUAAGCAGGCGAAGCUGGGAGCAGUGAGCCCCUGGUGGACGGACCUGGCUGUGGACCACGGUUGUUAUUGGCAGCUUGUCAGGCUGAGCAGAGCUGGACAGCAGGAGAUUUACCAUGGACACUUACGACGCCGCAUUUUGGUCUGAUCC